rnacentral:rRNA from 1 species
UACGAAGGGGGCUAGCGUUGUUCGGAAUUACUGGGCGUAAAGCGAACGUAGGCGGUGUUCCAUGUCAGAGGUGAAAGCCUGGGGCUCAACUCCAGAAUUGCCUUUGAAACGGGAACGCUUGAGUCCGAGAGAGGAUGGCGGAAUUCCUAGUGUAGAGGUGAAAUUCGUAGAUAUUAGGAAGAACACCGGUGGCGAAGGCGGCCAUCUGGCUCGGUACUGACGCUCAUGUGCGAAAGCGUGGGGAGCAAACAGG